AUUGAACGCUGGCGGCAGGCCUAACACAUGCAAGUCGAGCGGAUGAAGGGAGCUUGCUCCUGGAUUCAGCGGCGGACGGGUGAGUAAUGCCUAGGAAUCUGCCUGGUAGUGGGGGAUAACGUCCGGAAACGGGCGCUAAUACCGCAUACGUCCUGAUGGAGAAAGUGGGGGGUCUUCGGAACUCACGCUAUCAGAUGAGCCUAGGUCGGAUUAGCUAGUUGGUGGGGUAAAGGCCUACCAAGGCGACGAUCCGUAACUGGUCUGAGAGGAUGAGCAGUCACACUGGAACUGAGACACGGUCCAGACUCCUACGGGAGGCAGCAGUGGGGAAUAUUGGACAAAGGGCGAAAGCCUGAUCCAGCCAUGCCGCGUGUGUGAAGAAGGUCUUCGGAUUGUAAAGCACUUUAAGUUGGGAGGAAGGGCAGUAAGUUAAUACCUUGCUGUUUUGACGGUACCAACAGAAUAAGCACCGGCUAACUUCGUG
rnacentral:rRNA from 1 species